rnacentral:rRNA from 1 species
AGGACGAACGCUGGCGGCGUGCCUAACACAUGCAAGUCGAGCGAAGCUGCUCUAGAACUUCGGUUUUAGUGUAGACUUAGCGGCGGACGGGUGAGUAACCCGUGGGUAAUCUGCCUGGAAGUCUGGGAUAACAGCUCGAAAGGGCUGCUAAUACCGGAUGAUGCCAUUGGCGUAAGUUAAUGGUCAAAGCGUGAUGUAGCGCUUUCAGGUGAGCCCGCGUCCCAUUAGCUAGUUGGUAGGGUAAGGGCCUACCAAGGCGACGAUGGGUAGCCGGUCUGAGAGGAUGGUCGGCCACACUGGGACUGAGACACGGCCCAGACUCCUACGGGAGGCAGCAGUGGGGAAUUUUGCGCAAUGGGGGCAACCCUGACGCAGCGACGCCGCGUGAGUGAAGAAUGCCUUCGGGUUGUAAAGCUCUGUCUAGGGGGAAGAUAGUGACGGUACCCCUGGAGGAAGCCCCGGCUAACUACGUGCCAGCAGCCGCGG